rnacentral:rRNA from 1 species
UACGUAGGGCGCAAGCGUUGUCCGGAAUUAUUGGGCGUAAAGAGCUCGUAGGCGGUUUGUCGCGUCUGCUGUGAAAACCCGAGGCUCAACCUCGGGCCUGCAGUGGGUACGGGCAGACUAGAGUGCGGUAGGGGAGAUUGGAAUUCCUGGUGUAGCGGUGAAAUGCGCAGAUAUCAGGAGGAACACCGGUGGCGAAGGCGGGUCUCUGGGCCGAUACUGACGCUGAGGAGCGAAAGCGUGGGGAGCGAACAGG